AGUCGAACGAUAGAUACCAGCUUGCUGGUAUCAAAAGUGGCGCACGGGUGCGUAACGCGUAUGCAACCUACCUCAAUCAGGGGGAUAGCCCGAAGAAAUUCGGAUUAACACCGCAUAAAAACACAGUACAGCAUUGUACAAUGUUCAAAUAUUUAUAGGAUUGAGAUGGGCAUGCGUGUCAUUAGCUAGUUGGCGGGGUAACGGCCCACCAAGGCGACGAUGACUAGGGGAUCUGAGAGGAUGACCCCCCACACUGGUACUGAGACACGGACCAGACUCCUACGGGAGGCAGCAGUAAGGAAUAUUGGUCAAUGGAGGCAACUCUGAACCAGCCAUGCCGCGUGCAGGAAGACAGCCCUCUGGGUCGUAAACUGCUUUUAUUCGGGAAUAAACCUGCUUACGUGUAAGUAGCUGAAUGUACCGAAGGAAUAAGGAUCGGCUAACUCCGUGCCAGCAGCCGCGGUAAUACGGAGGAUCCAAGCGUUAUCCGGAUUUAUUGGGUUUAAAGGGUGCGUAGGCGGCUUAUUAAGUCAGGGGUGAAAGACGGUGGCUCAACCAUCGCAGUGCCCUUGAUACUGAUGAGCUUGAAUGAACUAGAGGUAGGCGGAAUGUGACAAGUAGCGGUGAAAUGCAUAGAUAUGUCACAGAACACCGAUUGCGAAGGCAGCUUACUAUGGUUUUAUUGACGCUGAGGCACGAAAGCGUGGGGAUCAAACAGGAUUAGAUACCCUGGUAGUCCACGCCCUAAACGAUGAAUACUCGCUGUUAGCGAUAUACAGUUAGCGGCUAAGCGAAAGCGUUAAGUAUUCCACCUGGGGAGUACGCCCGCAAGGGUGAAACUCAAAGGAAUUGACGGGGGCCCGCACAAGCGGAGGAGCAUGUGGUUUAAUUCGAUGAUACGCGAGGAACCUUACCCGGGCUUGAAAGUUAGUGAAUUAUCUAGAGAUAGAUAAGUGAGCAAUCACACGAAACUAGGUGCUGCAUGGCUGUCGUCAGCUCGUGCCGUGAGGUGUUGGGUUAAGUCCCGCAACGAGCGCAACCCCUAUGUUUAGUUGCCAGCACGUUAAGGUGGGGACUCUAAACAGACUGCCUGUGCAAACAGAGAGGAAGGAGGGGACGACGUCAAGUCAUCAUGGCCCUUACGUCCGGGGCUACACACGUGCUACAAUGGAUGGUACAGAGGGCAGCAAGCUGGCAACAGCAAGCAAAUCUCAAAAAGCCAUUCACAGUUCGGAUAGAGGUCUGCAACUCGACCUCUUGAAGUUGGAUUCGCUAGUAAUCGCGUAUCAGCAAUGACGCGGUGAAUACGUUCCCGGGCCUUGUACACACCGCCCGUCAAGCCAUGGAAGUUGGGGGUACCUAAAGUA
rnacentral:rRNA from 1 species